AUUGAACGCUGGCGGCAGGCCUAACACAUGCAAGUCGAACGGUAACAGGAAACCGCUUGCUGUUUCGCUGACGAGUGGCGGCCGGGUGAGUAAUGUCUGGGAAACUGCCUGAUGGAGGGGGAUAACUACUGGAAACGGUAGCUAAUACCGCAUAACGUCGCAAGACCAAAGAGGGGGACCUUCGGGCCUCUUGCCAUCGGAUGUGCCCAGAUGGGAUUAGCUAGUAGGUGGGGUAACGGCUCACCUAGGCGACGAUCCCUAGCUGGUCUGAGAGGAUGACCAGCCACACUGGAACUGAGACACGGUCCAGACUCCUACGGGAGGCAGCAGUGGGGAAUAUUGCACAAUGGGCGCAAGCCUGAUGCAGCCAUGCCGCGUGUAUGAAGAAGGCCUUCGGGUUGUAAAGUACUUUCAGCGGGGAUGAAGGGAGUAAAGUUAAUACCUUUGCUAAUUGACGUUACCCGCAGAAGAAGCACCGGCUAACUCCGUG
rnacentral:rRNA from 1 species